rnacentral:tRNA from 1 species
GGGCCGGUGGUCCAGUCAGGAUAAGACGCAGGCUUGCGGAGCCUGUAACCGGGGUUCAAAUCCCCGCCGGCCCG